AGCGAACGCUGGCGGCAGGCUUAACACAUGCAAGUCGAACGGGCAUCUUCGGAUGUCAGUGGCAGACGGGUGAGUAACACGUGGGAACGUACCCUUCGGUUCGGAAUAACUCAGGGAAACUUGAGCUAAUACCGGAUACGCCCUUUUGGGGAAAGGUUUACUGCCGAAGGAUCGGCCCGCGUCUGAUUAGCUUGUUGGUGGGGUAACGGCCUACCAAGGCGACGAUCAGUAGCUGGUCUGAGAGGAUGAUCAGCCACACUGGGACUGAGACACGGCCCAGACUCCUGGGGGAGGGAGAGGGGGGAAAUAUUGAAAAGGGGGCGCAAGCCGUAUCCGCCCUUGCGGGGGGGGGAAGAAAGCCUUGGGGUUUGAAAAUCUUUUUUGCCGGGGCGGAAAAGGAGGGUCCGGAAAAAAAAGCCCCGGCCUAGCUUCGGC
rnacentral:rRNA from 1 species